rnacentral:lncRNA from 1 species
GGGGCGUGUCCGCGCCGAGCUGCCCGCCGCGGGCUCCGCUCACCCUCGAGGCGGCCCCGGGCGCGGGGUCAGCUCAGAGGCCACCGGCGCUCAAGUCCCCGCGCUCCGGGCGCCGGUGCGCAUCGCCGGGAGGGCGGGCAGAUAGGCUGCACGCCCAGCGAGGCGCUCGCCGUGGGGCCCGAACUCCCAACCCUGAGGCCGAGGCAGGCCUCAGAGGAGCCGCGUGGACGCUUCCAGCUACUUGGUAAACUCCGAAAACGGAGGAGAACAUGACGGUGAAGCGAACCGCGAGUGUUAGGAUCCUGCGAAUCAGAGCCAGGGGAGCAUGUGGAUCCUGGAGCCGGACUCGCCAAGCACGUAGGCUUCCAGCCCCAACAGCCUGCUUCUAAAGUGCCGUCGCCGCUGCACCUCCAGUUUCUCGGGACCCCGACCGUCCCUUCUGUGGGCUCCUUGUCCUUCGUCCUCAUGGGUGUCCCGAGUCCCCCGACCUUGCCUCCCUCCAGCAGGCCGGUGACCUCUCCCGCGCCUCCCGCCUCAGUGCCCGGCUUGGCUUCACGGCCCAGCAGCCGGCCACACCGUUGCCACGGCAAGGACCUCGAGAACCUUCCUUGAGCAAAGGCCCGGCGUCUGGAGGGAGCUUGCGGCUUCAAGUAAAAACGGCUCCUUUUGUUUUGUAAAGACCGACUCCUCUGUCAAACACCGGGGCUCACUUGUUCCCCAGAUUUUGUUAGUAUUUUGUAAUUUUGAUUCAUGUGUUUGAUGCUAAGUCAUUUGAGAGGUAAGGACCAUUGCGAUGUUCAUCUCCUUCUUCAUGAUGCCGGAUGCCUUGUCCCCGAAUGGGAUGGACAUAAGUUUGCCUUAACUGCUUUCUUUGCAUUCGUCUCUGCAAGUGUGGUUGUACUUUUAGUUUUGGCCGUUCUGGAUCAUUGCAGUGUGUCUUUUAGGAACAGUAGUGCGGCCGGAGGACCCUAUUUUGAUUCCAAUCUGAGAGUCAUUAUUUUAUUAUAUAUGUUUAAUCCAUUUUUCCGUGGUAUUACUGUGUCAUGCUAUGCUUCUUUGUGGCUAAUUCUCCCUUUAUUUCUCCCGUUCUUUGAUAUCUCCACCAAGCAUUCUGAAUUGUUGUCUUUGGCUAGUGAAUUAGGUGGAAAUUUUUAUUUUUUAACUUUGGGGUUACCAUUAAACUAAAUAAU